GCCCAGCCUGAGCGCGUGCCGUACAGCGUGUCCCGCGCGCGCACAGACAGCGGAGAGAGAGAGAGAGCUGCACUGCUGCACGAGACCGUCCACUGCAGAACACGCACGGCUCGCGACUCGGAGCGGCUUUUAAAAACUCCGACCAUUAGAAAUAAUAAAACACCGGCGGCUGGUCGGGAUACGGAGCGGGAGGAGGGUCAACCGCCCAGAAACCGGCAGACGAAGACGACAGUGUGUUGAAGAGUCCUGGCUUUGUCUCUCUGAUCCGCUCUCUGUCCUGUGAUGCCGGGCUGUGGGUGAGUCUGUGCCCGCAACCAGACUGAAGCUGGGGAAACUAAAAGUGGUGCGGCGGCAGCUGCUGCAAAGAUAUGAACACCAGCCCUUUGUCUCCUGCCUGGCUGGACUCUAUGGCUGCCAGUGGAGGAGGUACCAAAGAGCGCGGGCGCAGCCAGGAGAGUGCUGCUGCAGCAAG